rnacentral:lncRNA from 1 species
AAGAUGGCUAUAAGAAUCUGGARGAUUUUUAUUACAAUAAGCAGAGAGUUUACAGCUGGUUUCCUGUUUGAAUGGUUUUUCCUUGAGCAAUCCCAUACACACACAGUCCUCAACAACAACAGCAACAAAAAAACCCCACAGCAAGUCUGUYAAGAGCACUGGCACAGAUGCCUGAAACAUCUCUCUUCCAGACAGGAGAGGACAGACUGCAGAGCUAUGGGAUUCGCUGCCUGUCUCAGCACAGAAGAAUGGAAAUGAAUGUCUCAGAUGUUGGAUAUCCCAUGACAUGGAACUUCUCUUUCCUAACCAGCACUAAGUCUUACCUCCCAAACAGCACAGAGGAUAACUACAGUUCAUAGCAUCACGAGAAGAAGACAUUUCAGUUUCCGCUUCAGUGAGUAACCAUGAUGGGUUG